CGGGCGCACAAUGGGGCCGACUGAUUGACUGACGGCAAGGUCCGGGCCAACUGCACGAGACGAGCGGGACCGUAGAACAAACCAGGGCUCGGCUAGUGCUUCAACCAACCGGACAGCAUGAGCAGCGGGACUGGAAGCCAGUGGCUGUUCCUCCAAGCAAUCGGAAAGGCUUUGAGGGCUGGGCUGAACUCGGUGCACGUACUCCGCGGCUGUUAACUCGCGAAGAAAGCCCCGAGCGGAUACUAUCGAUUUAAUCUUCCGACAGCGGAAGUUUCCAUCCGAUCUUCGACGUGCUGUUGAAGCUACGCAACCCCAUGACCUGCUCUUCCGCUCCUCUGAGAGGACCUCACCGUGGGGUCGGAAUUUAACGCUACUCAGUUCAGUCCGCCCAAGGCUCACCUACUGUGUGUCUAUCAGCAACUGGGUCUUGAUGAUUGAAGGCCUGAUUGGUCCAAUAGAAAGGGAGCAAAGUAUCCGGAUGACUGAUUUGCGCGUUGGUCCUCCAACCAAUGAGAGGUGGAGUUAGUGGAAUCGAAAAAGAUGUCUCCCUCACAGCGUUUGUGACAAAAGAAUUGCAUCUUCCUUGGCGGCCUUUCAACAGAAGAAUAUUCAGAGAUUUCCCGAGUGGACACAAUAAUUGCCUUGGAAACUUCAUCACGAUACUACAUUGCAUUUCUGAAGAGGGAAGAAGAAAUCAAUAUGCAAAUUCAAUUCCAUGGUUUUGGAAGUCCCAUUGAGAACACGAUUCAUUUGCGCCGGCAUAAUGCUCUGACUGCGAAAGAAUUGAAGUUUCUACUUGGAAGAAAGAUUCACAUCAAAUUGACGAGUCAAGGAAAUGGGACACUGACUUAAUUGCAUGACAGUUGAAUGGUUCGUUGAGAGUGAGGAACCUAUGGACUCUCACACACCAAAAUGGAAUUUAGUUCGAAGAAUGACUCCUCUUCAAAAUACUUACUUGCUUUUAAAAUCUUGACCAUUUCUGCUGUCUAGUUGAAUAAAUGUGGCUGAAUACUGCUUCAAUCGGAAUUAGUGUUGAUUAGGAACAUAUUUGUGAAACUUACAGUUCCUCAAGUUUUAGCAUAAACGAGUGGAGACUUUCGGUGCUUGGAAAAAGGCUCACCUCUCCCUUAAUAGCGAAGGAAAAUUUGGAGUUUAAAAAACCAUACGAUUCCACUAAUUUUGAUGAGGAAUUUAAAGAUCACAAGUCCCGUCCAUUUGACUCACAGUUUGGUACCAUAGGUUGGUACGAUCUUCGUUCAAGAAGGAAGAGGGAUGUUCCAGAUACAGAAAAUCGUCAAACCAUUUACUACAAAGUCUGUUUCUGCUUCGUAUUAAUUAAUGCAGUUAACAUUUUCAGAUCGACAUGAUUGCAGAAUGGAGUCACUAAAAAAAAUUCCUUCUGAUAUUCAACAUAAAUUUUAAGUUUAGAAUAACAAGCUCACAAGAAAGUUGACCUGGUUUUAGAUAUCACUUGGGACCACAGACUAACAGACAAAGGAACAAAGCAAGAUGACUCUGCGAUUUGAUGUAGAAACUGCUGACACUCCGAAGCCUGCAGCCCUCCUCCAAUUCUCAAGUCAGAGGUGUGUCAAUGACGGUGCAGAUCCAACAACACUGAAAACAAUCUUGAGUCUAGGCCAAAGCAGCCCCUUGAUUGGCACCAUAUCCAUUCUCUCCACAGCCAAUUUGUGUCCCUGUACAAGAUGCACAGCCACAUUUUUUUCCAACUAUUCUUAGACAUACCUUUCCAGACUUUGAAAACUCAUCUUCAAGGGCAAGGACAUCAGAUGUGGUAGCACUAACUCCAGUGAAAAUCACCUCCAAGCUACUCACAAACUUAUUUGGAAAUGAAUGGUUGUUACUGAGUCAAUCUUCGUUAUCUCUUUUGGAACAGCAUUGUGGGUCUCUGUACAGCAACAUGAAGCUGUUCAAGAAGUCAGCUCAUGCUGGACAAUCAGCAACAGCUAUGUCUCAUUAAAGAAUAAAUAAAUCGGAAAGAAAUCCAUCUGAGAGUCACAGGCAAGUGGGUACUUGUUCACUUUGCAGA